GAUGAACGCUGGCGGCGUGCCUAAUACAUGCAAGUCGAGCGAACAGACGAGGAGCUUGCUCCUCUGACGUUAGCGGCGGACGGGUGAGUAACACGUGGAUAACCUACCUAUAAGACUGGGAUAACUUCGGGAAACCGGAGCUAAUACCGGAUAAUAUAUUGAACCGCAUGGUUCAAUAGUGAAAGACGGUUUUGCUGUCACUUAUAGAUGGAUCCGCGCCGCAUUAGCUAGUUGGUAAGGUAACGGCUUACCAAGGCAACGAUGCGUAGCCGACCUGAGAGGGUGAUCGGCCACACUGGAACUGAGACCCGGUCCAGACUCCUACGGGAGGCAGCAGUAGGGAAUCUUCCGCAAUGGGCGAAAGCCUGACGGAGCAACGCCGCGUGAGUGAUGAAGGUCCUCGGAUCGUAAAACUCUGUUAUUAGGGAAGAACAAAUGUGUAAGUAACUAUGCACGUCUUGACGGUACCUAAUCAGAAAGCCACGGCUAACUACGUG
rnacentral:rRNA from 1 species